GAGAGUUAGGUAAAUCCGGCUCUCUUUAAGGCUGAGACACGACGUCGAGCACCUACGGGUGUGAAGUCAUUGAUGCCAUGCUUCCAGGAAAAGCCUCUAAGCUUCAGAUUGUAAGGAAUCGUACCCCAAACCGACACAGGUGGUCGGGUAGAGAAUACCAAGGCGCUUGAGAGAACUCGGGUGAAGGAACUAGGCAAAAUGGUACCGUAACUUCGGGAGAAGGUACGCUCUCGACGGUGAAGUCCCUCGCGGAUGGAGCUAUUGAGAGUCGCAGAUACCAGGUGGCUGCAACUGUUUAUUAAAAACACAGCA
rnacentral:rRNA from 1 species